CCUACGGGGGGCAGCAGUGAGGAAUAUUGGUCAAUGGACGCAAGUCUGAACCAGCCAUGCCGCGUGCAGGAAGACGGCUCUAUGAGUUGUAAACUUCUUUUGUACGAGGGUAAACGCAGAUACGCGUACCUGUCUGAAAGUAUCGUACGAAUAAGGAUCGGCUAACUCCGUGCCAGCAGCCGCGGUAAUACGGAGGAUUCAAGCGUUAUCCGGAUUUAUUGGGUUUAAAGGGUGCGUAGGCGGUCGGUUAAGUUAGAGGUGAAAUCCCGAGGCUCAACUUCGGAAUUGCCUCUGAUACUGGCCGGCUAGAGAGUAGGAGAGGUAGGCGGAAUGUGUGGUGUAGCGGUGAAAUGCUUAGAUAUCACACAGAACUCCGAUUGCGAAGGCAGCUUACCGGGCGAGAUCUGACGUUGAGGCACGAAAGCGUGGGGAUCAAACAGGAUUAGAUACCCCGGUAGUC
rnacentral:rRNA from 1 species